rnacentral:rRNA from 1 species
GGCAACCGAGUUGUAAUUUGGAGACGGGACACUAGAGAGGAGGAAGGCGAUUAAGUGCCUUGGAACAGGCUGCCGUAGAGGGUGAGAGCCCCGUGAAUCGCUGGAGACCGAUCAAUUAGUGCCCGCCGAAGAGUCGAGUUGUUUGGGAAUGCAGCUCUAAGCGGGUGGUAUAUUCCAUCUAAGGCUAAAUAUUAGCGAGAGACCGAUAGCAAACAAGUACAGUGAUGGAAAGAUGAAAAGAACUUUGGAAAGAGAGUGAAAUAGUACGUGAAAUUGUUGAAAGGGAAGGGUAUUUGAUCCGACAUGGUGUUUAGCAGCGGCCCGUUCCUCGUGGAUGGGUGCACCUGGUUUACACUGGGCCAGCAUCGGUUCUGGGAGCCAUAUACGGGGUUCGUGAAUGUGGCCCUUCGAUUCUGUCGGAGGGUGUU